UUGGCUGUUGCUGCUGCUGCUGCUGGUACAAGGCUCAGGCUGUGUCCGGGGAGAAAAACUGAUUGCUCACGAUCAGCUCCACGGGGACAGCAUGCAGGGAGAAUCACAACAUGAGCAGAAGACGUCUUUUUUCAGGAUGCUUGUACACGUGGUUGUUUUUGAAAUCACCACGUGUAGACUCUUUCUCACGAGCAGCUGUACCCAGAUGUUGUGCUAAAUGUUCCAUCACCAUCAAGAACAGGAGAGGAGAGAGAGGGCAGCUUUGUUUUGUUCCUCUAUGGAUUGUGAAUUGUGGAGAGUCUCUGCCAUGUAUCCUAAUCACUGCUGUACAAGGGUCUGCCUGUCCUCUCCUGUUAGAGUGCGAAGACUGGCCUUAUUUACCUAUGUUUCUACUGCUGAAUGGUCUACCUGACGGUCUUUGUAUAAAUUUGAGAAGAAUUCUGUGAAAGCUUGUCCUAUUCCCAAGCUUGUCGCAACACUGGUGCCAUCUGAUUUUUUAAUUACAUGUAUUGUGUGUUUUUUAUGUUUACGUUUUAAUCGAUUUGCUAACAAUCUUGAGCUUUUACUGCCAUGCUCAAAAGAUUUUUGCUUUGUGUUCAGCAUACCAAUUAAACUUUUAUUUGUUUCAAUCAA